GCUACAUUUGUGAUAACUUUUAGCAUUUGUUUUGGAAUUAGCUUACAGGUAAUUCAUAUGAAAGUUUAGAUUCACAGAUUUCAUUCAUGUAUUCUAUGCCUGAAUUAAUCGUUUUUUACUUAGCAUUUGGCAAAAUUUAAACCAAAUAUUUGAAUUCUUUCAUCCUCAGAUUUAGGUGUUUUAUUAUUAUUGUUGUUGUUUAUUUCUUUUGUCUUUUUCUCAUAGUAUAUUGGGAUUCUAAAUCCUUAUCAAGUAUUUACUUCUGGAAAUAGUCUGUAAUAUAAUCCUUUUAAAAUAUGACCUAUAUGUUCAUCCUGAAUAAAGCAAUUAAUUUGCUCAUCAGUUUGUUUAAUUUGGUGGGAAAACUCCAAAUAAUAUACCUGCCAGGAUAUUUUGAGUGUUGACCACCUGCUGUCCAAUCACGGGACAGAAGGAGCAUUCGCAACCAUUGUCAAUGGGUACAUCUUACACUAAGUGUCUUGAGGGUGAAGAUACAUCAUCUUUUCAGAUUUCUUUUCUUACCGAAGAGUGUAGCUUCAUAUCUCUUGAUUAAUAGAUGAAUGUGACAAAUAGUUUGAAAUGUCAAUAAGGUUCUUAACUAGAGCUAUUAAAUGGUGCAGAACAAUGCUCAUCUUCUACCUACAACAAAACUAUUCAAUAAGCAAAUGGAGGGUUUCUAGAUUUAGUUUUAGGAAUUUAUUUUUUCUGGAAUAUCAUUAGGAAUAUUUUAGGAAAAUAUUAAUUGUAUUUUAUUUUAAUAGUCAGUAAAAAUAAUUGUUUAUAAAUAAAUUGAUAUUGUCUUCAAAUUGAAUAUUUACAAAAGCUUCCAAAUCGAGAAAAAAUAUUUUUAGAUCAUGUGUCUUCAGUUUUAGUUAAGAAAAUAGGUUUUCUAUAUAGACACUGCUUAAUUAAUCACAAAAGGAAGCAUAUUUAUGAAUGAUGUUCAAGUCAACUCAGUUCACAGUGGUCCAGACGGCUAUUUUUAGUAUUGCUGGAGUCAGAGAAGGCUUCCUGGAUGGAACAGUUUUGAAGGAAAUUCUGAAAUGGGUUAAAUUACUCAGAUUUGAGUAAUUUGAUUACUAGUAAGUUGUAUAAUAAAACACAUAAACCUGGGUACAAAUGAAGAGUUAUAUGAAAAAUAAUGAAAAGAAUUUUUUAGAAAGAAAAUUGAUGGUGCAUACCUGCAGUAGACAAACACUAGACCUAGGGAGUCAGAGUCCCAAUUGAGUAUCAUUGUGAUUUUUUUUUUUCUCUUCAACUAAAAUUAAGCAGUUGAAAACAUGAUUAAACAAUGUUUUCCUCUCUAGAUAUAAAAUUGAUUCUAUAAAAUAUUGCCUAACAGAGUGAGAACUUGAAUUAGAUAUGAAAUAAAUAAUUUACUUUUUAUUCUUAAUUCUGCAAAGCAUCUAGGAAUAAAAUUUAGGCUAGUUAUCCAUUAAUAAGAUAAUUUAUCAUGACUCAUGCAUUAUAAUGCCAUAUAUUGUAUUUGUUUCUUAAAUAAUCUUAUAAUAUCAAAAUGUAAAAUAUACAUAAUGUUCUUGGCUACCAAGAAAUCAGUAAGUAUAUAAUUAUUGUCCAAUUAAUUUCAUGGAGUGAUAGCAUGUUGCAAUAAUAAAUUCCUUAGUAAUGUUCCACUUUACUAGAUAACUUGUCCCUUUUAAACUCAUGAAGUAAUUUCUAUUUAAAGUGAGCCUAUUGACCAAGGUCUCAUGCUUCCCAAAUGCUACCAUGUCUUUGAGGAAGAGACUUUGAUUUGUUCGUCUCAUCAGUGGUUUGUUUCCCUUGGGAAAGUAGAGAAAGAAGCAAUUCCUCCCUACCUACAUUUGUUCUCUGGUUAACUAUUGCUUUUGUAGUGAUAAUGUCAAAAUUCAUCCCUGAGAAUUUUUCCUCUAAAUUUAAGUCAAGAAAAUAAAGCCUUGUAUUGUGAAGAGGCAAUUUUCUUGAGUUGGAACUAUUGUCAUAUUUUAGAAAAGAUAUCUGGAGUAGAGACAUGCAUAUGCAAGGAAAUAGAAAUGAAAUGCCUUACCUGAAGGAACAGAAUGCUUAGAAAUACCACCAGCUUGUCAUUUUAAUAGUUGAUAAUCCUAUAAAAGUGAACUAUCAUUUUGAAAACAAAUAUGAACUCAUGACAUUAAAAAGUAUAUUACCUUUUUAUGAUGUUUCAUUUUUCUAACAUAUACAGGUCAUACAUAAGAAUAUUCUUGGUACAAAAAUAAAAUCAUAUAUUUUAUAAAUCAGAUUUAUAAAGGCAACUAUAGAAGUCCUUUUUUUCAUUCCCCCAUCCCCGAAGAUCUCAAAUUUUUGCCCCCAAAUCACUACUAUUAUAAAUUGUAUCCUCCCAGACAUUUUCCCAUGAAUUUAUUUUCAUAAAUGUAUUGUUCAUAUUUACAUAUAAAAAUAUAUUUUUAAAAAAACAUUAAUAAAAUCACAGAAUACAACUUGUUGAAAUUACUUUCCUACUUAAUAUAUGUUACAUUAGACAUUAGUAUUUUUCAAAGAGUGACAAAUGUAGCCAGCAUUAUCAAAAUUCUCUGGGUUAUUAAAAAUGAAGAAUCAUAAGCGGUUUCAGGUUUACUCAAUCAGGAACUUUGAGAUUGAUAACAAUGGGCAUUUUACUUACCUAAUUAGGUGUAUUUUAAUGCACUUUCAAGUUUGAGAAUUAUUUCAUUCUUAAUGCCUGAAAUGAUAUUCUGUCACAUUAACUACAAAUAACCCAAUGAUUUGCCUAUUGUUGGUUACAAUUUUUGAAAUACUUUAUUAUGUACUUUAUAGUGUACAUACAUAUAUUUAUAAAACCUAUGCCAAGAAACAGAAUUACAAUUAAAAUUGUUUACAUUUAAAUAGGUGACAUAUUAUCAACAAAACUACCUGUACCAAUUUAUAUAUUCUCACUAUGGUUAGUAAUACCCAUUUCCCUCAUUAAUACUGUUUUCAGUUUUCCUUUUUAUGUUGUAAAUUUGAUAACUGAAAAAGUAGCUUAAUUUAGGUUUUGUAGAUUACUGGAUGAAGUUGAUCAUCUUUUAUCUUUUCAUAAUCACCUAUUUGUGGUUUGAUGAACUACCUAUUUGUAUCGCUUUUUUUCAUUUUUCAGUUAUAUUUUAACUUUGCUUAUUGAUUUUUUUAGGGAUACUGAUAUACAUAGGUCUUUUUUCUGCAUCUAUCUCUUAUUUUUUAAUUUCAUAGUGUCAUAUGGAGUCAAAAUCUGAUUCUCUCUUUCCUGGUAUUUUUUGGCAGUUGUAUCUUGCCUGAAAAGGCUUCCUUUCAGUCUCCUCUCUCCUCAAUCUAAGAUACUUAAAAAUAUCUUACAACAUUCUUAAUAGUUUUAUUUUUAAAUAAUCUGAUAUUUAUUUAUGCUUAUGAUGUGAAGUAAAGACUCAUUUGUCACCCAAUGAGAUAAGCUUUUAUUCAAAUACCAUUGAAUUUUUAGUCCUUUUUCAUGAUUUAACACAUUCAUCCUAAAGUAAAUUCCUAUCUGUAUUCUAUUUCUGAAUUUUUAAUUCUGUUAUAUUGCUGUUUCUAGAUUUUUAAACCAAGAUAGCACUAUUUUAAUAACUGUUGCUUUAUGAUACAAUUUGAUAUUAAGUGAAGAAAAUUCCUGUAUCUGUUUCUGCCUUCCGAGAUUUUCUUGGUUUUUUCUUCUCCCCAUUGAUUUUAGAAUUGCUUUCACAGGUUUCCUAAGAAUAAUAUUGAAUUUAUUAAUUAAUUUAGGGAAGAUCAACAACUAUAAUCUACUGUAUUCUAAGAAUUAGUUAUCUGUUUUUAAGUUCCUUUAUAUAUUGGACUGAAGUCUUACUCUCUGUUUCCUCUCUGUUUUAUUAGGUUUAUUUAUAGGCAUUUUAAAUAUUUUGAUUGUCAGUAUUAUUCCUUCCCAUCUCCGUGGCUUUUUCAAAUUAUUAACAUGUAAAAAUCCUUUGAAUUCUAAAUAUGAAUCUUGUAUCUAGCUUUUUUCUCAAAUUUCUUUUUUAUUUAAUAGUUUUUCAGUUUUUUUCUCUAAUUUGUUAGUUAUAUACACUAUUUGUUAUAAGCGAAAGAACUUUUAUCGCUUGUUUAUUGUGUGAUAUAUUGUUUUGCAGUGAUUAGGACCUUUGUAGAGUUUCAAAUCCAGCAUAAAAUAAUGAACAUUGACACAGAAUUUGUAUUAACAUUUUUGACAACCUGUAAAUUCUAUGAAUAAUGCUAUUUUAUAGCUUUGUAUGGGAAGAGUUGUAUAUUCUGCUGUGAAAAAUAUUUCCCCCAAAAUUAAAAUGAUAUGGAAUAUUUGCAAAUAUAUUUAAUGUUUUUAAUAAAGUUUGAUUUAUGAUAUGGAAAAAUUUGUGUAAUUGUAUGUAUGUUUAAACAUUCUAUAUUUCAGCCUAAAAUAGCAUUUAACCUUGGAAAGUCAGGAUUAGUAGAUUCCUGGAAAUUGAAAUCCCUUGACUGUAGAUGA
rnacentral:lncRNA from 1 species